AGGGUGUAGAUGCACCUUGUUGGUAUGAUUUAGUACAAUCAGUACUAGCUGGGGCACACAAGUACUUAAAUUCUUGUUUCAUAUACACUAGCCAUCGCAUAAAUCAAAACAAACUCGUUUACUAUUCCAUUGCAUUUGAAAUUUUAGAUGGCAAGGUUUGCCAUACUAGUUGGUAUCGUACCAUACCAGACGAAGCGUACCAUAUCCGUACCAAACUGGUACAUGCUGAACCUUACCAUAUCGUACUGCAUACCAACACCAUAAUAGAAUGGUAUCGGCAUGAGGUCCGAUACCGAGACAGUAAACUUAUUAGAUGGUCUAUCUUAAAGACUAAAAAAUAUACCUUGUUAGAUGGUCUAAAUUAAAGCCUAAAAAAUAGCAGAUCGAAUGCUCAAUUGGCAAAUCAAACUGUUCAUGUAAUAUCAAAGGUACUUGUUAGCACUCUUUUACAAGAACAG
rnacentral:lncRNA from 1 species